rnacentral:rRNA from 1 species
CCUACGGGUGGCAGCAGUGAGGAAUAUUGGUCAAUGGGCGGAAGCCUGAACCAGCCAAGUCGCGUGAGGGAUGAAGGUUCUAUGGAUCGUAAACCUCUUUUAUAAGGGAAUAAAGUGUGGGACGUGUCCUGUUUUGUAUGUACCUUAUGAAUAAGGAUCGGCUAACUCCGUGCCAGCAGCCGCGGUAAUACGGAGGAUCCGAGCGUUAUCCGGAUUUAUUGGGGUUAAAGGGUGCGUAGGCGGCCUUUUAAGUCAGCGGUGAAAGUAUGUGGCUCAACCAUAGAAUUGCCGUUGAAACUGGGAGGCUUGAGUAUGUUUGAGGCAGGCGGAAUGCGUGGUGUAGCGGUGAAAUGCUUAGAUAUCACGCAGAACCCCGAUUGCGAAGGCAGCCUGCCAAGCCAUGACUGACGCUGAUGCACGAAAGCGUGGGGAUCAAACAGGAUUAGAUACCCCAGUAGUC